UGGGGAAUAUUGCACAAUGGGCGAAAGCCUGAUGCAGCAACGCCGCGUGAGUGAUGAAGGCCUUCGGGUUGUAAAGCUCUGUCUUUUGGGACGAUAAUGACGGUACCAAAGGAGGAAGCCACGGCUAACUACGUGCCAGCAGCCGCGGUAAUACGUAGGUGGCAAGCGUUGUCCGGAUUUACUGGGCGUAAAGGAUGCGUAGGCGGAUUUUUAAGUGAGAUGUGAAAUACCCGGGCUUAACUUGGGUGCUGCAUUUCAAACUGGGAAUCUAGAGUGCGGGAGAGGAGAAUGGAAUUCCUAGUGUAGCGGUGAAAUGCGUAGAGAUUAGGAAGAACACCAGUGGCGAAGGCGAUUCUCUGGACCGUAACUGACGCUGAGGCAUGAAAGCGUGGGUAGCAAACAGGAUUAGAUACCCUGGUAAUCCACGCCGUAAACGAUGAGUACUAGGUGUAGGAGGUAUCGACCCCUUCUGUGCCGCAGUUAACACAAUCAAGUACUCCGCCUGGGAAGUACGAUCGCAAGAUUAAAACU
rnacentral:rRNA from 1 species